ACGGAAAGGUAGCACCCGCGGAAAAGCCUCAUUUAAAUAACAUUUGCAUAUAACGUACAGAUACUCCAUAGAAGCUCCAUGGUGAUAAGCGUAUUUUGUACCACUUUUGGCCACACCUCCUGGGAGACAUUUGAACCGAAUCCUAAGCCCCCAUUUGCAUAUUGCGAAUGGAUCAUUUAUUUUUUCUUUGCGUAUUCGCAAGAUACUGUGAUUUGAUUGGACAUUACCUCAUGAAUAAUGUAUUUUUCUAUUGAAAUUCGUACGUCAUAAUUUGACCCCUAUCGUCACUUCGGCUUAAUCAAGGGCUGAAAGGUGACGUCACCCGCACAGAAGAAGGUUAUUUCCUUGAAAGAUUUUCGACAUAGAACAUGAUGCUGCUUCACAUCCUCUUUUAAAGACUCAAGAAUUACAAGACCAAAUUAAGCUGCAGGACCCUCCUGAUUCAAAAAGACAUGGAACAUGACUCUGCUUCACAUCCUUUGUUUUAGAGACUCAAGAAAUACAAGACCAAAUUAAGGGUUUGUUUUUUUAAUUCCAAUAAUAAUUUUCUGGUGGAAGAAUUAGGGAAUAAUGCAUUGACAAUAUGCCAAACAUCCUAUAUCAAACUGAAUUACUGCAUGUAUUUACAAUAGAGUAUUGUAACUGCUUCCCCCUCACCACUGACCAAACAAAACCCACAAACAAUUUAAGAGGGAUAGGGUUAUUUUAGGGGUAAUUAUCCUUGCUGAUUGUAGCAGUAGUUUUUACAAAUAUGGAUGUAGUUAAUGAUGAUGUUUAUGAUAAUAAUACUUAGAAUAAUAAAUUCAUUACGAUGACAUAACAGUAAUGAUGAAUAAAUAUGAUAAUUCAGCACUAUAAUAUGUACAUGAAAUUGUGUAACAAUUUUGGCAAUGAAGAAUUUUUAACAAAAAUAAUGAUAAAUGAAUUCGGGGGGGGGGGGGGCAUGUGACAUUGCAUCUGUGUUUGUGAGGACAGUAGUCUCUUUCACACCAUUUCAUCUUAAGCAGAUGGGAACGAGCUCUGAUCAAAAUUUGAUCUUUAAACUCAAGAGGAAAAUAAUUGUUACCUGAUUUAUGUAUUUGGAAUAAAAUGAAUUGAAAUAAUAA